rnacentral:rRNA from 1 species
UGGGGAAUAUUGGACAAUGGGGGGAACCCUUAUCCAGCCAUGCCGCGUGUGUGAAGAAGGCCUUAUGGUUGUAAAGCACUUUAAGCGAGGAGGAGGGUACUGGUAUUAAUACUACCAGCUACUGGACGUUACUCGCAGAAUAAGCACUGGCUAACUCUGUGCCAGCAGCUGCGGUAAUACAGAGGGUGCGAGCGUUAUUCGGACUUACUGGGCGUAAAGAGUGCGUAGCCGGCUAAUUGAGUCGGAGGUGAAAUCCCCGAGCUUAACUUGGGAAUUGCAUUGGAUACUGGUUAACUAGAGUGUGGGAGAGGAUGGUAGAAUUCCAGGGGUAGCGGUGAGAUGCAUAGAGAUCUGGAGGAAUACAGAUGGCGAAAGCAGCCAUCUGGCCUAACACUGACGCUGAGGUACGAAAGAAUGGGGAGCAAACAGG